GAACCUUCGAAAUAAAGAACCUUUGGAAUUAUGAACCUUCGGAAUUACGAAGUGUAACCCAUCGACUAUUUCAUCUUUAUGUCACUGGGCAUGCUGGAUGCUCAAUACAUGUAGUUCGAAAGCUCACAGAAAUCAUAGCUCAUUGAAACUACCAACCCAGCCGCCGCAGUCUCUCUAAAGGUGGUGGUGUGUAGUAUCGGAGUAAUUGAUACAUGUAGGUCUUUCUCAAACGUUCAGAGGAUCAAAAACCACUUCACGGAUUUGGAGGAGAGGAGCAAUCAACUAUCUUUGUAAAUUUCGACUUAAGAGAGCAUAAGAGACCAUAAACACUUAUGGCAGGUAAAGUGCACUGUGUUUUGUCAGCUUUAAAAG